AAUGUGCAUGGUUCCACUCUCGCCGUCCCUCAGCUCUGCAAAUCAUUUGCUUCAUUUUCUACAUGUCUUGGACUAAGCCUCACGUUGAAUUGAGGAGCUUCCCAGUGUAUUCGGAAACUGGUCCUUCUACGUUACCUUAAUCUACAUGUUUUUGUGUUUGGACAAAUGAGGAAAUGAUUCUGAUUUUUAUUGUUUUGGUAUAUUGGUUCAUGUUUGAGUGUGAAAAUAUUUGCAGGGUUAACCAUAAUCCGUUGUAGCUUCUUAAUAUUGAUUUGGA